rnacentral:rRNA from 1 species
GACGAACGCUGGCGGCGUGCUUAACACAUGCAAGUCGAACGGAAAGGCCCUGCUUUUGUGGGGUGCUCGAGUGGCGAACGGGUGAGUAACACGUGAGUAACCUGCCCUUGACUUUGGGAUAACUUCAGGAAACUGGGGCUAAUACCGGAUAGGAGCUCCUGCUGCAUGGUGGGGGUUGGAAAGUUUCGGCGGUUGGGGAUGGACUCGCGGCUUAUCAGCUUGUUGGUGGGGUAGUGGCUUACCAAGGCUUUGACGGGUAGCCGGCCUGAGAGGGUGACCGGCCACAUUGGGACUGGGAUACGGCACAGACUCCUACGGGAGGCAGCAGUGGGGAAUAUUGCACAAUGGGCGGAAGCCUGAUGCAGCAACGCCGCGUGCGGGAUGACGGCCUUCGGGUUGUAAACCGCUUUCGCCUGUGACGAAGCGUGAGUGACGGUAAUGGGUAAAGAAGCACCGGCUAACUACGUG